UUCCAGGGUAGCUUACAGUAAAAUUACCAACAACCAAGACGAUACCGUAAAAAGAACAAAUAAAGCAGCGAUUCCGUAGAUUUUGGUACACCGAUUUGAUAUUUCUUGAGCCCCGAGUUGGAGUUCGUUUCGAUAUUCAGAUGGCAUUCGUUCUUAUCUUUCACCUCUUUCGAAAUGUUCUAGACACAUAAUUCGUUUCUCAAAGUAGGGUUGAUUUUUUUUCGAUACCAAUGACAACUAGGAAUAUGUUUGCAAUGAAUAUUAUUGUUUUUUUUCAGUCAAACCAUAAGUUCCUUAUCAAAAACAAAAUAAAUCGAAUUUUCCACAAUAUGACCUUCAUUAAUCCCAAUUACAUCGUAAUGUUUGGUCUUUUGGCAGAAUCAUCGCUACAAUGGAUAUUUUGCACGAAUUUGAAUUUAAGGAUUGACAAUUCAACCGUAUCCGCAGCUCUUCUUGUGAUUGGAAUAACUGGGGCCGUAGUUCUAAGAAUGAUGGAUUGUUGCCUAUCACUGCCAGUCUGCAUAUAUGCUGGGCUUGUAUUAACUUUGGUUCAAUGCACCAUAAUCGGUGGGAGUCAUGCCGUAACGAAUGCUUCGAGUUCUCAGCUGAUUUCAGGAGUAAGUGUUGCAUUGACAAUAUUCCUGAUAUCGGUAUUCAUUGGUUGCAUGCUGGCAAAGGUAGAGACAGCAACGAAAUCCUCACUAAUAUCCAGUCAUUUUCUGUUGCAUAAUUUCUUCAAGUAUAGGCGGAUACAAUUUACUUUGUGGGGUUUUUGGGACUUUACGGACUGUUUUUCUUGCUGUCCUGCAUUUUAUUACUCUCGGCGUUGCUUUCACUUCAAUGGCAAAUUACUUACAUUAAUAUUGUCACCCUCUGCACAUAUUCAGGAAUAUUAUUCAUUGUAUCCUACGAUGUUCGACUAAUUCAAACUCUCAGCAUGGAGGCGGUGCUGACCGCAAAAGAAAAUCUCAGAUAUGGAUGCCUCUUCUAUAGCGAAUUUGUUGUACUUCUAGUGAUGACUUUAAGUUUUAUUCAGAAAUAAAUAUUACACAUCAUUUUUCAAUACACAAAUUUUAUUUAAUAAUAAUAAUAUAUAUAUAUAAUAUACUUGUAUAAACACUUACAUAAAGUUUAUAAGAAUUACAUUAA